rnacentral:rRNA from 1 species
UACGUAGGGUGCAAGCGUUGUCCGGAAUUAUUGGGCGUAAAGAGCUCGUAGGCGGUUUGUCGCGUCUGCUGUGAAAACCCGAGGCUCAACCUCGGGCCUGUAGUGGGUACGGGCAGACUAGAGUGCGGUAGGGGAGAUUGGAAUUCCUGGUGUAGCGGUGGAAUGCGCAGAUAUCAGGAGGAACACCGAUGGCGAAGGCAGAUCUCUGGGCCGUAACUGACGCUGAGGAGCGAAAGCAUGGGGAGCGAACAGG